ACUGUUAAAUGUGGCUGUAGGUUUUGCAGUACAGUACAGCUAAAUUCUACAGUAUGAUACAAUAUCAUGUCUUUACAGCACAGUGUUGUAGUUAAUGUUGCAUUCUGGGUAAUAUUAUUGACGCGGGAAUAUAUUACAGUACAUUUCCCCGCAUACUGUAACUUUGCUGCCACCUUGCUGUAAUAUCGAGAACGAAGUUCUGCCAACCCGACGACUUUACUCCUCUUCUGAAGACAUGACCCAUAGUGGAAUGAGCGCAAGUCAUUGAAAUUUGUUCACUGAAGCCGAGGUAGAGGGGCACGAGAGAUUGCCUGACACCCAGACUCAUUAUGGUUGGACCCUCGCUCAUGACAGCAAAAAGAUGGAUGGUGUCCAUUGAAGGAAGAGUUGCUAUUACAUUCACUGGAUCAGACAGUUUUCCUGCUGCUUUCGCCACUCUUUUUGCAUCGUAUUACGUCUUAAACAUGGAAUACCAAGAGUCAGCUGCAUGCACUUUGGAGCUUGUUCAAAGAUUUCUGGUGAGAAUUAAUCCGGAAGAUGGAAAGAAAUGCACAGCCCGACAGGGAGUGAGCAAGAAGACCGGACGAAUUGUCCAGAAAAAAGCACCACCCAUCAACUCCCACGUUAAUAACUUCAUUCGCUCCUUGCUGGACUUUGAAUGGCAGACCUCUAACUAAGCAGUUACAUCUAACAGGUUGUGUGUGUGUG